rnacentral:rRNA from 1 species
GAUGAACGCUGGCUACAGGCUUAACACAUGCAAGUCGAGGGGAAACGACGGGGAAGCUUGCUUCCCCGGGCGUCGACCGGCGCACGGGUGAGUAACGCGUAUCCAACCUGCCUCUGACUGAGGGAUAACCCGUCGAAAGUCGGCCUAAUACCUCAUGGUUCCUCUGCGGGCAUCCAACGACCGAUAAAGGUUUCCUCGGGCAGGGAUGGGGAUGCGUCUGAUUAGCUUGUUGGCGGGGUAACGGCCCACCAAGGCUACGAUCAGUAGGGGUUCUGAGAGGAAGGUCCCCCACAUUGGAACUGAGACACGGUCCAAACUCCUACGGGAGGCAGCAGUGAGGAAUAUUGGUCAAUGGGCGAGAGCCUGAACCAGCCAAGUAGCGUGCAGGAAGACGGCCCUAUGGGUUGUAAACUGCUUUUAUGCGGGGAUAAAGUGAGGGACGUGUCCCUCAUUGCAGGUACCGCAUGAAUAAGGACCGGCUAAUUCCGUG